AUGCAUAGCCGACCUGAGAGGGUGAUCGGCCACACUGGGACUGAGACACGGCCCAGACUCCUACGGGAGGCAGCAGUAGGGAAUCUUCGGCAAUGGACGAAAGUCUGACCGAGCAACGCCGCGUGAGUGAAGAAGGUUUUCGGAUCGUAAAACUCUGUUGUUAGAGAAGAACAAGGAUGAGAGUAGAACGUUCAUCCCUUGACGGUAUCUAACCAGAAAGCCACGGCUAACUACGUGCCAGCAGCCGCGGUAAUACGUAGGUGGCAAGCGUUGUCCGGAUUUAUUGGGCGUAAAGCGAGCGCAGGCGGUUUCUUAAGUCUGAUGUGAAAGCCCCCGGCUCAACCGGGGAGGGUCAUUGGAAACUGGGAGACUUGAGUGCAGAAGAGGAGAGUGGAAUUCCAUGUGUAGCGGUGAAAUGCGUAGAUAUAUGGAGGAACACCAGUGGCGAAGGCGGCUCUCUGGUCUGUAACUGACGCUGAGGCUCGAAAGCGUGGGGAGCGA
rnacentral:rRNA from 1 species